CCAUAGCUCAGCUGGAUAGAGCAACGGACUUCGAAUCCGUAGGUCGUAGGUUCGAAUCCUACUGG
rnacentral:tRNA from 1 species